rnacentral:tRNA from 1 species
GGUGCGUUAGUUCAGCCAGGUUAGAAUGCCUGCCUGUCACGCAGGAGGUCACGGGUUCGAGUCCCGUACGCACCG